GCUGUAGCUCAGUGGUAGAAUAUCUGCCUCUCAUGCAGAAAGUCCCAGGUUUAAUCCCGGGAAUCUCCA